UCCGGUUGAUCCUGCCAGAGGCACUGCUAUCGGAGUUCGAUUAAGCAUGCGAGUCGAGAGGUGCAAGACCUCGGCAUACUGCUCAGUAACACGUGGACAAUCUAACCUAUGGAAGGGGAUAACCCCGGGAAACUGGGGAUAAUACCCUAUAGACUAUGGAUGCUGGAAUGCUCUGUAGUUGAAAGGUCCGCCGCCAUAGGAUGGGUCUGCGGCCGAUUAGGUUGUUGUUGGGGUAACGGCCCAACAAGCCUGUAAUCGGUACGGGUUGUGGGAGCAAGAGCCCGGAGAUGGAUUCUGAGACACGAAUCCAGGCCCUACGGGGCGCAGCAGGCGCGAAAACUUUGCAAUGCGGGAAACCGUGACAGGGGAACUCCGAGUGCCCGUUAAAUCGGGCUGUCCAUCAGUUUAAAUAACUGGUGAAGAAAGGGCCGGGCAAGACCGGUGCCAGCCGCCGCGGUAAUACCGGCGGCUCGAGUGGUGGCCACUAUUACUGGGCUUAAAGCGUUCGUAGCUGGUUUGUUAAGUCUCUGGGGAAAUCUUCCGGCUUAACCGGAAGGCGUCUCAGGGAUACUGGCAGACUAGGGACCGGGAGAGGUGAGGGGUACUCCAGGGGUAGGAGUGAAAUCCUGUAAUCCUUGGGGGACCACCUGUGGCGAGGGCGCCUCACCAGAACGGCUCCGACAGUGAGGGACGAAAGCUGGGGGAGCAAACCGGAUUAGAUACCCGGGUAGUCCCAGCUGUAAACGAUGCGCGUUAGGUGUAUCGGUGACCACGAGUCACCGAGGUGCCGAAGAGAAAUCGUGAAACGUGCCGCCUGGGAAGUACGGUCGCAAGGCUGAAACUUAAAGGAAUUGGCGGGGGAGCA
rnacentral:rRNA from 1 species